UACGUAGGGGGCGAGCGUUGUCCGGAUUUAUUGGGCGUAAAGAGCUCGUAGGCGGUUUGGCAAGUCGGGUGUGAAAACUCCGGGCUCAACUCGGAGACGCCACUCGAUACUGCUAUGACUUGAGUCCGGUAGGGGAGUGCGGAAUUCCUGGUGUAGCGGUGAAAUGCGCAGAUAUCAGGAGGAACACCGGUGGCGAAGGCGGCACUCUGGGCCGGUACUGACGCUGAGGAGCGAAAGCGUGGGGAGCGAACAGG
rnacentral:rRNA from 1 species